UACAGAGGGUGCGAGCGUUGUCCGGAAUCACUGGGCGUAAAGGGCGCGUAGGCGGCCUGAUAAGUAGGGGGUGAAAUCCUGUGGCUUAACUGCAGGGCUGCCUCCUAGACUGUUAGGCUCGAGCACGGUAGAGGCAGAUGGAAUUCCCGGUGUAGCGGUGGAAUGCGUAGAGAUCGGGAGGAAGGCCGGUGGCGAAGGCGGUUCUCUGGGCAUGAUCUGACGCUGAGGAGCGAAAGUGUGGGGAGCGAACAGG
rnacentral:rRNA from 1 species